ensembl:lncRNA
AUAAUCCCAACCACUACACAGUACCCACCAGUCCCCUCUACCCCACCAUGUCCCCUCAUCCAGCAGACAGGACACCCACCAGUCCCCUCUACCCCACCAUGUCCUCUCAUCCAGCAGACAGGACACCCACCAGUCCCCUCUACCCCACCAUGUCCUCUCAUCCAGCAGACAGGACACCCACCAGUCCCCUGUACCCCACCAUGUCCCCUCAUCCAGCAGACAGGACACCCACCAGUCCCCUGUACCCCACCAUGUUCUCUCAUCCAGCAGACAGGACACCCACCAGUCCCCUGUACCCCACCAUGUUCUCUCAGCCAGCAGACAGGACACCCACCAGUCCCCUGUACCCCACCAUGUUCUCUCAUCCAGCAGACAGGACACCCACCAGUCCCCUCUACCCCACCAUGUCCUCUCAUCCAGCAGGCAGGACAGCCACCAGUCCCCUGUACCCCACCAUGUCCUCUCAUCCAGCAGGCAGGACACCCACCAGUCCCCUGUACCCCACCAUGUUCUCUCAUCCAGCAGGCAGGACACCUACCAGUCCCCUGUACCCCACCAUGUCCUCUCAUCCUGGGUUCUUAGUAUUCAU